AUGUUGCUUUUGCUCUGCGUGCUGCUUCGCUCCUCCUUAAGCUGGUGGUGUGGUGCUUGGUGUUGCUCCUCCCCUUGUUCUCAUGGUCGAUGGGAGAAGUACCAACAGCACCACACCCUGAUGACAAUGUCUAUGCCUAAAUUGAAGUGGAGGAUUUGGUUGCGCACUAUUGGAGUCUCUCGGCGACUGACCUGGUCGAGCUUUCCCAUCGAUUCAAUCCAUCCACUUAGAGUGUUCUGGUUGUUGUCAUUGCUGUUUUCUGGGAGGCUAAUACAAAGGUGGUCGCCGCUGAGCCGCAUGGGAACUAGUGCUGGCCAGGAUCGCUUCAGCGUCGGACCUCGCUGA
rnacentral:rRNA from 1 species